GUUUCUUUGCCGCCGGGUAAAGAGUUAAGCGCCGGUCCUUCUAUCGUUAGGCCAUUGAAGAUAGAAGGGACCGGCGCUGUUUUUGU
rnacentral:ncRNA from 1 species